rnacentral:SRP_RNA from 1 species
CCGGGGACUAGCCCGGGUGGCUCGGCGUCACCUGUUACCUGAAACCGCCGGUAUGCAGGGGGCGAAGUCCGAGGACGGCUGUGGCGAUCUGACCAAAGCCGGUAUAUCCCGCCUGAGAAACCUCGUCCCAUGAGGUCGGCGGACAGGGAUCAAGACUCCGGAGGGAGUGGCGACCUGCUGCCGCGGGGAACGGUUCAGGCCCGGAAGGGAGCAGACUUACCGUGGACGUACGGCGCCCAUGGGGGUGCGGGGCGGAGAAAGGAUUGCCGGGAGAAGUCAGGCACGCACUGUCUACCGAGGACGUGUCCCCAC